CUUGGUCAUUUAGAGGAAGUAAAAGUCGUAACAAGGUCUCCGUAGGUGAACCUGCGGAGGGAUCAUUACACAAAUAUGAAAGCAGACCCUCACUGGGGCGUAACGUCACGCCGUGUCCGCAAUAGCGUCAUUGCUGUUGUGCUGACGCGGCGGGGGGUAACGCCCUUUUGGGCCAGUCUGACUCCAUAUUCACCCAUGUCUUUUGCGUACUACUUGUUUCCUUGGCGGGUUCGCCCGCCAAUUGGACCCAAUUAAACCUUUUUUGUAAUUGCAAUCAGCGUCAGCAAAACAAUGUAAUAAAUUACAACUUUCAACAACGGAUCUCUUGGUUCUGGCAUCGAUGAAGAACGCAGCGAAAUGCGAUAAGUAGUGUGAAUUGCAGAAUUCAGUGAAUCAUCGAAUCUUUGAACGCACAUUGCGCCCUUUGGUAUUCCAAAGGGCAUGCCUGUUCGAGCGUCAUUUGUACCCUCAAGCUUUGCUUGGUGUUGGGCGUUUUUGUCUCGGGUCCGCCCCGAGACUCGCCUUAAAAUCAUUGGCAGCCGGCCUACUGGUUUCGGAGCGCAGCACAUUUUUGCGCUUUGUCCAGUCGUGGUCUUGCGUCCAUGAAGCGAAUAUUUUCAACGUUUGACCUCGGAUCAGGUAGGGAUACCCGCUGAACUUAAGCAUAUCAAUAAGCGGAGGA
rnacentral:rRNA from 1 species